GCCGCGGCUUCCCGCCGGCCGCGCGCUUCGCCAGAUUGCUCUUUUGCCCUCCCUUUCCGAUGGCUGCGGAACAAACGGUCGCCUGACAGCUAAGCAUCGAUCCAGGAACCCGACUUCUUAGACACGCACAAGUACACCCACGCGUGACACGGCGUUUUCCAGGCGAGAUAGACGAAGAAACGUAAAGCCGAUACACACGUGCGGAAACGAUGCUUUUGAAGGGGAAAAUCUGCCCAUUCCUGGGCUUUGGUGAAAAAGGAGAAUCAUCGACUCGGGUAGGGUAGAGGAGACUCCCGUUAUGCCGUCCUAGUUGCUGGACAAAGCUGCCAGAUUCGGGAGAAAGUUGCGCUCUCUAGACGGACUAUUAGCCAGGCUCUGGUGUGGUGUAUAGUUUUUACCUGGGAACUAUCACAAAGGAAGUCCACAAAGGAGACGCAGCGGAAUGGGGCACAAUGGUACCCUGCUAAGGUUUCUGGAUGGCGUACUUUAAUGAAGUAUGAAACCAUGAUGGAAGCCCAGGGGAGAGUCCAUUUUAAAAGCAAAACUGUGUAACCAUUAUUCCAUCAACAAAUCAGGACUUUUCCUUUCCCCAAAUUGCAAUGCAGGUUAGAGACAGAUGUUCAAAGUACACUAAAGCAGCAUUUAUUUUUCUUCAGUUACUUAAGAUUUGAAAAGGGCUUAGAGUGUGCAUAAGCGCACCAGCGUGCCUACCGUCCCUGUCCUAAUGUUCCCUUUUACAUGUAUCCAUUUCAUGUAUUCAUAAUUAUGUUUAUACUUAUAUCUGUUACCUAUUACAUGCUUGAUGAAAUAAAUAAAUAAAAAUAAAGUUUGUAACAAUC